GACGAACGCUGACGGUGUGCUUUAGGCAUGCAAGUCGAACGAGAAAGCCCUUCGGGGUGAGUACAGUGGCGAACGGGUGAGUAACACGUGGGCAACCUGCCCCUCGCGGGGGGACAACCGGGAGAAAUCCCGGCUAAUACCCCGUACGCUUGUCGGGCCGCAUGGUACUGACAAGGAAAGGUAGCUUCGGCCAUCCGGCGAGGGAUGGGCCCGCGUUGCAUUAGCUAGUUGGUGGGGUAACGGCCCACCAAGGCGACGAUGCGUAGCUGGUCUGAGAGGAUGAUCAGCCACACUGGGACUGAGACACGGCCCAGACUCCUACGGGAGGCAGCAGCCAGGAAUCUUGGGCAAUGGGCGCAAGCCUGACCCAGCAACACCGUGUGAGUGACGAAGGCUCUAGGGUCGUAAAGCUCUGUUGAUAGGGACGAAGGGCGAAGGGUUAAUAGCCCCUAGCUUGACGGUACCUUUCGAGGAAGCCCCGGCUAACUACGUGCCAGCCGCCGCCGUAACAC
rnacentral:rRNA from 1 species